UACAGAGGUCCCAAGCGUUGUUCGGAUUCACUGGGCGUAAAGGGUGCGUAGGUGGCCGGGUAAGUCUGACGUGAAAUCUCCAAGCUCAACUUGGAAACUGCAUCGGAUACUAUCCGGCUCGAGGAUCGGAGGGGAGACUGGAAUGCUUGGUGUAGCAGUGAAAUGCGUAGAUAUCAAGCGGAACACCAGUGGCGAAGGCGAGUCUCUGGACGAUUCCUGACGCUGAGGCACGAAAGCCAGGGGAGCAAACGGG
rnacentral:rRNA from 1 species